rnacentral:rRNA from 1 species
AGUGAACGCUGGCGGUAGGCCUAACACAUGCAAGUCGAACGGCAGCACAGUAAGAGCUUGCUCUUUCGGGUGGCGAGGGGCGGGCGGUUGCUGAAUACCUCGGAAUCUACUUUUUCUUGGGGGAUAACGCAGGGACACUUACGCCAAUCGCGCAUACGACCUAAGGGUGAAAGCAGGGGAUCUUCGGCCCUCGCGCGAUUGAAUGAGCCGAUGUCGGAUUAGCUAGUUGGCGGGGUAAAGGCCCACCAAGGCGACGAUCCGUAACUGGUCUGAGAGGAUGAUCAGCCACACUGGAACUGAGACACGGUCCAGACUCCUACGGGAGGCAGCAGUGGGGAAUAUUGGACAAUGGGCGCAAGCCUGAUCCAGCCAUGCCGCGUGGGUGAAGAAGGUCUUCGGAUUGUUAAGCCCUUUUAGUUGGGAAGAAAAGCAGUAAGUUAAUACCCCGCUGUUUUGACGGUACCAAAAGAAUAAGCACCGGCUAACUUCGUG